AUUGAACGCUGGCGGCAGGCCUAACACAUGCAAGUCGAACGAGUGGCGGACGGGUGAGUAAUGUCUGGGAAACUGCUCGAUGGAGGGGGAUAACUACUGGAAACGGUAGCUAAUACCGCAUACCUUCGGAUGUGGCCAGAUGGGAUUAGCUAGUAGUGGGGGUAAUGGCUCACCUGGACGACGACCCCUAGCUGGUCUGAGAGGAUGACCAGCCACACGGGAACUGAGACAAGGUCCAGACUCCGACGGGAGGCAGCAGUGGGGAAUAUUGCACAAUGGGCGAAAGCCUGAUGCAGCCAUGCCGCGUGUAUGAAGAAGGCCUUCGGGUUGUAAAGUACUUUCAGCGGGGAGGCGUUAACCGCAGAAGAAGCACCGGCUAACUCCGUGCCAGCAGCCGCGGUAAUUC
rnacentral:rRNA from 1 species